GCCUUCGUGGUCCAACGGACACGACGCCGCUCUACGGAAGCGGAGACGGGGGUUCGACUCCCUCCGAGGGCGCCU
rnacentral:tRNA from 1 species